CUGGCUCAGGAUGAACGCUAGCUACAGGCUUAACACAUGCAAGUCGAGGGGCAGCAUUGAGAUAGCUUGCUAUUCAGAUGGCGACCGGCGCACGGGUGAGUAACGCGUAUCCAACCUUCCCCUUAGUAGAGGAUAGCCCGGCGAAAGUCGGAUUAAUACUCUAUGUUGUAUUUUGAGGACAUCUGACGAAUACCAAAGAUUUAUCGCUAAGGGAUGGGGAUGCGUCUGAUUAGCUUGUUGGCGGGGUAACGGCCCACCAAGGCGACGAUCAGUAGGGGUUCUGAGAGGAAGGUCCCCCACAUUGGUACUGAGACACGGACCAAACUCCUACGGGAGGCAGCAGUGAGGAAUAUUGGUCAAUGGGCGAGAGCCUGAACCAGCCAAGUAGCGUGCAGGAAAGACUGCCCUAUGGGUUGUAAACUGCUUUUAUCAGGGAAUAAAGUGCGGCACGUGUGCUGUUUUGUAUGUACCUGAUGAAUAAGGACCGGCUAAUUCCGUGCCAGCCGCCGC
rnacentral:rRNA from 1 species